UGUAUGUAUGUAUGUAUGUAUGUAUGUAUGUAUGUAUGUAUGUAUGUAUGUAUGUAUGUAUGUAUGUAUGUAUAUACACACACAUAUAUUUGUGUGUGUGUGUGUAUAAUAUAUGUGUGUGUGUAUAUAAUAUAUAUAUAUAUGAUAUAUAUACAUAUAUAUCACAUGUGUGUAUGUAUGUAUAUAUAUAUAUAUAUAUAUAUAUACACAUAUAUAUCACAUGUAUGUAUAUGUGUUGGGAAUAGGGUACCAUUUGGAAUGCAAUAAAAAAUUCAAAACUCAUGCCUCCAACAACUCUCCAGAGUACUGCUGUCAGAGUACUGCUGUCAGAGUACUGCUGUCAGAGUACUGCUGUCAGAGUACUGCUGUCAGAGUACUGCUGUCAGAGUACUGCUGUCAGAGUACUGCUGUCAGUAUACAAAGACUUAUUCGGUCAACUGUGCUAGCUGUGUCGCCCUGCUGUGUCGCCCUGCUGUGUCGCCCUGCUGUGUCGCCCUGCUGGGUCGCCCUGCUGUGUCGCCCUGCUGUGUCACCCUGCUGUGUCACCCUGCUGUGUCACCCUGCUGAGUCACCCUGCUGUGUCACCCUGCUGUGUCGCCCUGCUGUGUCGCCCUGCUGUGUCGCCCUGCUGUGUCGCCCUGCUGUGUCGCCCUGCUGUGUCGCCCUGCUGCCUUUUAUUUCUAAGUAUAUUAAAUUACUUUUUUUUUCAAGAAUCUGUCUCGAAGGCAAUGUGUAUCCAUCCAAGUUUGCAGGUAUUGCAUUCUAUUAGUUCAACGUUCUCACUAUUUAUGGAAGGAGACCCUCUGAAACACUAAACAUACUUAAAGCUGAUAAUGUUACAAUGAAUGUUUUGUGUGCACCCCCUGAAUUGGAUGCUGUCUGUGUGCACCCCCUGAAUUGGAUGCUGUCUGUGUGCACCCCCUGAAUUGGAUGCUGUCUGUGUGCACCCCCUGAAUUGGAUGCUGUCUGUGUGCACCCCCUGAAUUGAAUGCUGUCUGUGUUCACCCUCUGAAUUGAAUGCUGUCUGUGUGCACCCCCUGAAUUGAAUGCUGUCUGUGUGCACCUCCUGAAUUGAAUGCUGUCUGUGUGCACCCCAUGAAUUGUUUUAUUUUGUCUUUGGUGAUCUGUGUACCAUGGAUGUGGCAACCAAAGGAAAGCUGUUGCUUUUCAAUCAUUACAACAUUAAUGACUGCCAGGAAGUUAACAUGUUUGGUUCUGUAAAAAUGUAUGUUUGUGUGCCAUGGAGCCCAGUAAGACACUACUAACCAAGCCAGAAAGACACAGGCCGUAUUUUGUAUUUAAUGUGAGUUUAAUUUCAGCCCCUGGCUUUUGGCAUGGCUUUGGCCCAAUCACUCACACUGGUGUAUCACUGGAAUCCAUUUAACUAAUGAAACUAACAAAGCAAGGUCUGGCCUCAUUUUUAAUUGCCCAAAUUUGACAACAUGUUUGACAUGUAUGACACUUGUAUAUUUUAAAUUUUCAUAGGUUGUUUUUAAAGGGAUGCUUCUGGACUUUGGCAAUGAGGCCCUUUUAUCUAUUUAACCAGAGUCAUACUGGACACAGAGACAUAAAACAUGGUGUCCACCAGUUCAUCUGAUGCUGAGGAAGUAGAUCUUGAAAAAUCUUGAAGUAUCUUGAAGUAUCCUUUUGAAAAGCUGCUUAUGAAUAGUUUUGAAAUGAUUAUCAGUCAUUUCUUAUGAUUUAUUAAUUGAUUUGUUAAUUAUUCUUUUUCUAGAUUUUAAGAUGUGUUUUUUGCAUCCUUUACAAGGAAAGUAACAUUAUAAAUAUUUACUUAAAAUGAACUUGGCACAGAUAGAAGUUCAACAAAACCUCUGAUUCCGGUUACUGGCCUUUCUGGAAGAUGAUCUAGUUUGAUGGGAGACACUAGACAGUUAGUUUAUUGGCUCAGUCUCUCUCCCGCUCUCUCUCGGUCUCUCUGUGUGUGUGUGUGUGCGUGUGUGUGUGCGUGUGUGUGUCUAACUGCGGUCUAGUUGGCACCCGCUCUUCUAAAUCCUGUCCAGUUGAAACAGGUUAGCGUGAAUACUGGUCUUUUGGUUUACCCUGUCUGUCUUGAUCCUGGAGUUUUCCACUGAACUCGUGUUUACCCCCAGAGACUAUGGGCAAUUGUCUGAAUAACUUUACCAAACUUGGUACUUUAGACUAUACUUCACAGAGAAAGCCCAUUCUGAAUGGGUAUCCGGCAGUAGCCAUGGUACAGGUAUGCUUCUCAAACAGUGCCCUAUUCCUACUCAAAAGUAGUGUACUAUCUAGGGAAUAAGGGUGCCAGUUGGGAAACGCACACAGAGGCGAGUGUUCGAGUCUUGCCACCAAUCGACAGGUGUAAGGCUUUUUAUUGCUUGUAAGCAAGAACAGUCUCGGUCCGUUCAUGUGCCAGUAGACUGUGUGCUCACACAGAAGUGUUAUGUUGAAAUAGAUUACCCCAAUGUUUUAUCUUUUCUUUUGUUUGAAUUUGAUGCACAGUGCACACGCGUGAAAUGGUUUACAUUAAUUAGCGGUAUAGUAGGAUGCAGUUUAAAGUUGACAUUUCUACAUAUUACAGAGUCUUUGCACAUGCUGUUAUGACUAUGGCAAUAUUGAUCGUGUUCUUUCAUUCAGGUCUGGUGUUAUUAUAUUCUGUUAUUCUGUCUGUUAUUAUAUUCUUGGUUAGAGAACAAUGUUUGUCUUUCGGUAGGGAAAACCACAUCAAUAAAGACAUGGGGGAAAAACAUUCUAGUUUUCAUUGCUUUGUGUGAUGUAUUGUUGUCUCUACCUUCUUGCCCUUUGUGCUGUUGUUUCUGCCCAAU
ensembl:lncRNA